rnacentral:rRNA from 1 species
GAUGAACGCUGGCGGCGUGCCUAAUACAUGCAAGUCGAGCGAAUGGAUUAAGAGCUUGCUCUUAUGAAGUUAGCGGCGGACGGGUGAGUAACACGUGGGUAACCUGCCCAUAAGACUGGGAUAACUCCGGGAAACCGGGGCUAAUACCGGAUAAUAUUUUGAACUGCAUGGUUCAAAAUUGAAAGGGGGCUUCGGCUGUCACUUAUGGAUGGACCCGCGUCGCGUUAGCUAGUUGGUGAGGUAACGGCUCACCAAGGCAACGAUGCGUAGCCGACCUGAGAGGGUGAUCGGCCACACUGGGACUGAGACACGGCCCAGACUCCUACGGGAGGCAGCAGUAGGGAAUCUUCCGCAAUGGACGAAAGUCUGACGGAGCAACGCCGCGUGAGUGAUGAAGGCUUUCGGGUCGUAAAACUCUGUUGUUAGGGAAGAACAAGUGCUAGUUGAAUAAGCUGGCACCUUGACGGUACCUAACCAGAAAGCCACGGCUAACUACGUGCCAGCAGCCGCCGUAA